rnacentral:lncRNA from 1 species
CUAGAGUCAUAGUGAUUCUGAUAUUGUUGUCUUCAUAUUCGUACUUUUACUUUGGAUUCGGAGACAUUUAGCUUUAUAUGAUUCUACCCCAAUCUGUCAUUCUCCAAACAUAACCGAUGGCAAAACUAUAAUCACACAGUUUUUCCCUCCAGCUUCUUAGUUUCCAGUCAUUAACAAAAAAGAAAGAAAGAAAGAAAAAUGUUAAAGGUACUGAGAAAAGUUCAGUGCUUACAGCUGGUUUCAGCAAUUUCAACUUGCGCAAGACCCCAUGUUUGUGAAAACAACCCAAGAAUCUUUGAACAGGAUGUAAUCAACCUCCGAUCUGCUGAGAAACGCUGCAAAAAUGACUUCAGUUGCCAAAAAUAAUAACGUCGUUUACAAGCAGCUCUUCCUAUGUCUAAGGAAGAACCAGCCACGCGUGCGAGUUUAUGCUGGCUUCAGACAAGCAAGCAAGGAAAAGGGCAAAUCCUUCCUCCCUCCCUUAAAAUACACAGUAUCGGAACCCGCGGGAAGCCGGAGCCCAUUUCAAAGGUAUUGGCAAUAUUGGCGGAGGUUCAUAUCCACAAAAAUCCAAACAAGUCAGUGGUAA